rnacentral:rRNA from 1 species
CAGUACCGUGAGGGAAAGGUGAAAAGCACCCCGGAAGGGGAGUGAAAGAGAUCCUGAAACCGUGUGCCUACAAAUAGUCAGAGCCCGUUAAUGGGUGAUGGCGUGCCUUUUGUAGAAUGAACCGGCGAGUUACGAUCCCGUGCAAGGUUAAGCUGAAGAGGCGGAGCCGCAGCGAAAGCGAGUCUGAAUAGGGCGUUUAGUACGUGGUCGUAGACCCGAAACCAGGUGAUCUACCCAUGUCCAGGGUGAAGUUCAGGUAACACUGAAUGGAGGCCCGAACCCACGCACGUU